rnacentral:rRNA from 1 species
UACGUAGGGACCGAGCGUUGUCCGGAAUCAUUGGGCGUAAAGAGCGUGUAGGCGGCCACUUAAGUCCUGCGUGAAAUCUUGCGGCUCAACCGCAAGCGGUCGUGGGAAACUGGGUGGCUAGAAUUCGGUAGGGGAGACUGGAAUUCCUGGUGUAGCGGUGAAAUGCGCAGAUAUCAGGAGGAACACCGGUGGCGAAGGCGGGUCUCUGGGCCGAUAUUGACGCUGAGGAGCGAAAGCGUGGGGAGCAAACAGG